rnacentral:rRNA from 1 species
CAAUAGCGUAUAUUAAAGUUGUUGCAGUUAAAAAGCUCGUAGUUGGAUUUCUGAUCGAGACAUCAGGUCGGGUCUGAGAGGAUCAUGUACUUUGAUUUUGUUUUGAUCAUCCUUGGGGAGAGCAUUUCUGGCAUUCAGUUGUCGGGAUUGGGAUCCUCAUCGUUUACUGUGAAAAAAUUAGAGUGUUCAAAGCAGGCCUCGGCCUCUGAAUACAUUAGCAUGGAAUAAUAAGAUAGGACUUUGGUGGUCUAUUUUGUUGGUUUGCACGCCAAAGUAAUGAUUAAUAGGGAUAGUUGGGGGUAUUCGUAUUCAAUUGUCAGAGGUGAAAUUCUUGGAUUUAUGGAAGACGAACUACUGCGAAAGCAUUUACCAAGGAUGUUUUCAUUAA